GAAUCCGGUUGAUCCUGCCGGACCUGACUGCUAUCGGAUUGAUACUAAGCCAUGCGAGUCAUUGUAGCAAUACAAGGCAGACGGCUCAGUAACGCGUAGUCAACCUACCCUAUGGACGGGAAUAACCUCGGGAAACUGAGUAUAAUUCUUGAUAGAUCAUAAUGCCUGGAAUGGUUUAUGGUUAAAAUGAUUCGUCGCCAUAGGAUGGGACUGCGGCCUAUCAGCUUGUUGGUGAGGUAAUGGCC
rnacentral:rRNA from 1 species